rnacentral:rRNA from 1 species
GCUAAACCAUGCACCGAAGCUGCGGCAGCGACACCGUGUGUUGUUGGGUAGGGGAGCGUUCUGUAAGCCUGUGAAGGUGUGCUGUGAGGCAUGCUGGAGGUAUCAGAAGUGCGAAUGCUGACAUAAGUAACGAUAAAGCGGGUGAAAAGCCCGCUCGCCGGAAGACCAAGGGUUCCUGUCCAACGUUAAUCGGGGCAGGGUGAGUCGACCCCUAAGGCGAGGCCGAAAGGCGUAGUCGAUGGGAAACGGGUUAAUAUUCCCGUACUUGGUGUUACUGCGAAGGGGGGACGGAGAAGGCUAUGUUGGCCGGGCGACGGUUGUCCCGGUUUAAGCGUGUAGGUAUGUGUUCCAGGUAAAUCCGGUUCACUUUAACACUGAGGCGUGACGACGAGGCACUACGGUGCUGAAGCAACAAAUGCCCUGCUUCCAGGAAAAGCCUCUAAGCAUCAGGUAACAUCAAAUCGUACCCCAAACCGACACAGGUGGUCAGGUAGAGAAUACCAAGGCGCUUGAGAGAACUCGGGUGAAGGAACUAGGCAAAAUGGUGCCGUAACUUCGGGAGAAGGCACGCUGACACGUAGGUGAAGUGAUUUACUCACGGAGCUGAAGUCAGCCGAAGAUACCAGCUGGCUGCAACUGUUUAUUAAAAACACAGCACUGUGCAAACACGAAAGUGGACGUAUACGGUGUGACGCCUGCCCGGUGCCGGAAGGUUAAUUGAUGGGGUCAGCGCAAGCGAAGCUCCUGAUCGAAGCCCCGGUAAACGGCGGCCGUAACUAUAACGGUCCUAAGGUAGCGAAAUUCCUUGUCGGGUAAGUUCCGACCUGCACGAAUGGCGUAAUGAUGGCCAGGCUGUCUCCACCCGAGACUCAGUGAAAUUGAACUCGCUGUGAAGAUGCAGUGUACCCGCGGCAAGACGGAAAGACCCCGUGAACCUUUACUAUAGCUUGACACUGAACAUUGAGCCUUGAUGUGUAGGAUAGGUGGGAGGCUUUGAAGUGUGGACGCCAGUCUGCAUGGAGCCGACCUUGAAAUACCACCCUUUAAUGUUUGAUGUUCUAACGUGGACCCGUGAUCCGGGUUGCGGACAGUGUCUGGUGGGUAGUUUGACUGGGGCGGUCUCCUCCUAAAGAGUAACGGAGGAGCACGAAGGUUGGCUAAUCCUGGUCGGACAUCAGGAGGUUAGUGCAAUGGCAUAAGCCAGCUUGACUGCGAGCGUGACGGCGCGAGCAGGUGCGAAAGCAGGUCAUAGUGAUCCGGUGGUUCUGAAUGGAAGGGCCAUCGCUCAACGGAUAAAAGGUACUCCGGGGAUAACAGGCUGAUACCGCCCAAGAGUUCAUAUCGACGGCGGUGUUUGGCACCUCGAUGUCGGCUCAUCACAUCCUGGGGCUGAAGUAGGUCCCAAGGGUAUGGCUGUUCGCCAUUUAAAGUGGUACGCGAGCUGGGUUUAGAACGUCGUGAGACAGUUCGGUCCCUAUCUGCCGUGGGCGCUGGAGAACUGAGGGGGGCUGCUCCUAGUACGAGAGGACCGGAGUGGACGCAUCACUGGUGUUCGGGUUGUCAUGCCAAUGGCACUGCCCGGUAGCUAAAUGCGGAAGAGAUAAGUGCUGAAAGCAUCUAAGCACGAAACUUGCCCCGAGAUGAGUUCUCCCUGAGACUUUAGGUCUCCUGAAGGAACGUUGAAGACGACGACGUUGAUAGGCCGGGUGUGUAAGCGCAGCGAUGCGUUGAGCUAACCGGUACUAAUGAACCGUGAGGCUUAACCUU